AACGCACGAGACCUGCGGACCUGCGGAGGGAUCAUUAGUGAACGCCCUCACGGGCUUAUAACUAUUCCAAACCUCUGUGAACCGUGCCCUUCGGGGCUAUUUUACAAACAUGGUGUAAUGAACGUCAUAUAUCAUAGCAAAACAAAACUUUUAACAACGGAUCUCU
rnacentral:misc_RNA from 1 species